AAACAUCAGUAAAUAUGGCCGCCCUUUCGUGUUAUUGUGCGGCGGGUUAUUUCGUUGACUUUGUUAGGUGAACAUGCGGCAGGACGCAGCACGAGGUUCCCCGUCAAGGGUUGUGCGCGAAAGCACCCGAUGUCAAAAUCCCCGUCUGAAUCCCCCGUGUCAGGUGGCCGGGUUUUCAACGUGACGGCGGUGCAGUCUGCUUUUUAAGUAAAAGCCGGAGAUACCAGACAAAAGCCUGCCUUCUCAUCAAAACGCCGCAACCGGGGCUGUACCAAAAGAGUCGAAAAAG